UGCCAGACUCCUACGGGAGGCAGCAGUGGGGGAUAUUGCACAAUGGGGGGAACCCUGAUGCAGCGACGCCGCGUGGGUGAAGGAGCGUUUCGGCGCGUAAAGCCCUAUCGGCAGGGAAGAAGGAGGACGGUACCUGACUAAGAAGCCCCGGCUAACUACGUGCCAGCAGCCGCGGGAAUACGUAGGGGGCAAGCGUUAUCCGGAUUUACUGGGUGUAAAGGGAGCGUAGGUGGCAUGGCAAGCCAGAAGUGAAAACCCGGGGCUUAACCCCGCGGAUUGCUUUUGGAACUGUCAGGCUGGAGUGCAGGAGGGGCAGGCGGAAUUCCUGGUGUAGCGGUGAAAUGCGUAGAUAUCAGGAGGAACACCGGUGGCGAAGGCGGCCUGCUGGACUGCAACUGACGUUGAGGCCCGAAAGCGUGGGGAGCAAACAGGAUUAGAUACCCGCGUA
rnacentral:rRNA from 1 species